rnacentral:tRNA from 1 species
GUAAGUUUAGUUUAAUUUAAAAUCUUAGAUCGUGACUCUAAUGAUAGGGGUUAAAACCCCCUAACUCACC